GUUAUAUACAUGUAAUACUAUAUAAUAUUAUGAGCAGAUUUUUUUUCUGUUCAAUGUUAGCUUGGGGUGACAUUUUGUAUGUACGUACAAGUACUUGUGUACUAGUACUAAUUUGGUAUUUGGUAUUGGAUUGAGCGGUACAAAUAUUUUAUAGUUGUAUCUUACCUGAGUAUAUACAUGUAUGAAAGUAAUAUGAAUACCAAAAUAUAGAUUUUGAUAAAUGUUAACAUAGAUUGCCAUGCACUGAUCUGGAUGUAUAUGAUGAAUCUCUUGAAAACUAACCCCCCCCCCAUACCAUCAUGAUUUUUCUGCAUUGUUCUGUUAUACUUCAGUGCAUAUUAAUUAGCAUUAGUUACUUUGAAGUUUUGACUUGACUUUUAUUGUCUCCUUUAUAAAAGUGCUAUUUCAAGAGUUUGUUGCCAUUAUUUUUUUUUCUUUUGAAAGAUAUUAUUUACACCACCCAUGUCUUUCGACAGUAUGAUGAUGCACGAUGUAUUUUCUUUGUAUUAUUUAGCAGUACAUUGUGUUUGGAUCUGUUACUCUUAUCAGUAACCUAGUGGGGUAUUUUGAUUUUAAUAAAUCAUGAUUACAUUUUU
rnacentral:sRNA from 1 species